UACGUAGGGGGCAAGCGUUAUCCGGAAUCACUGGGUGUAAAGGGUGAGUAGGCGGCAUGGUAAGCCAGAUGUGAAAGCCUUGGGCUUAACCCGAGGAUUGCAUUUGGAACUAUCAAGCUAGAGUACAGGAGAGGAAAGCGGAAUUCCUAGUGUAGCGGUGAAAUGCGUAGAUAUUAGGAAGAACACCAGUGGCGAAGGCGGCUUUCUGGACUGAAACUGACGCUGAGGCACGAAAGCGUGGGGAGCGAACAGG
rnacentral:rRNA from 1 species